GGGUUGUGAGGUUAAGCGAACAAGCGUACACGGUGGAUGCCCUGGCAGUCAGAGGCGAUGAAGGACGUGCUAAUCUGCGAAAAGCGCCGGUAAGGUGAUAUGAACCGUUAUAACCGGCGAUGUCCGAAUGGGGAAACCCGGUGCACUUCGGUGCAUCAUCGUUAGCUGAAUACAUAGGCUAACGAAGCGAACCGGGGGAACUGAAACAUCUAAGUACCCCGAGGAAAAGAAAUCAACCGAGAUUCCCCCAGUAGCGGCGAGCGAACGGGGAACAGCCCAGAGCCUGAAUCAGCUUGUGUGUCAGUGGAACGGUCUGGAAAGGCCGGCGAUACAGGGUGACAGCCCCGUACACGAAGGCACACAGGCUGUGAGCUCGAUGAGUAGGGCGGGACACGUGAUAUCCUGUCUGAAGAUGGGGGGACCAUCCUCCAAGGCUAAAUACUCCUGACUGACCGAUAGUGAACCAGUACCGUGAGGGAAAGGCGAAAAGAACCCCGGCGAGGGGAGUGAAACAGAACCUGAAACCGUGUACGUACAAGCAGUGGGAGCCUUCGUAAGAGGGUGACUGCGUACCUUUUGUAUAAUGGGUCAGCGACUUAUAUUCUGUAGCAAGGUUAACCGUAUAGGGGAGCCGAAGGGAAACCGAGUCUUAACCGGGCGUUAAGUUGCAGGGUAUAGACCCGAAACCCGGUGAUCUAGCCAUGGGCAGGUUGAAGGUUGGGUAACACUAACUGGAGGACCGAACCGACUAAUGUUGAAAAAUUAGCGGAUGACCUGUGGCUGGGGGUGAAAGGCCAAUCAAACCGGGAGAUAGCUGGUUCUCCCCGAAAGCUAUUUAGGUAGCGCCUCGUGAACUCAUCUCCGGGGGUAGAGCACUGUUUCGGCUAGGGGGCCAUCCCGGCUUACCAACCCGAUGCAAACUGCGAAUACCGGAGAAUGUUAUCACGGGAGACACACGGCGGGUGCUAACGUCCGUCGUGAAGAGGGAAACAACCCAGACCGCCAGCUAAGGUCCCAAAGUCAUGGUUAAGUGGGAAACGAUGUGGGAAGGCCCAGACAGCCAGGAUGUUGGCUUAGAAGCAGCCAUCAUUUAAAGAAAGCGUAAUAGCUCACUGGUCGAGUCGGCCUGCGCGGAAGAUGUAACGGGGCUAAACCAUGCACCGAAGCUGCGGCAGCGACACUAUGUGUUGUUGGGUAGGGGAGCGUUCUGUAAGCCUGUGAAGGUGUGCUGUGAGGCAUGCUGGAGGUAUCAGAAGUGCGAAUGCUGACAUAAGUAACGAUAAAGCGGGUGAAAAGCCCGCUCGCCGGAAGACCAAGGGUUCCUGUCCAACGUUAAUCGGGGCAGGGUGAGUCGACCCCUAAGGCGAGGCCGAAAGGCGUAGUCGAUGGGAAACAGGUUAAUAUUCCUGUACUUGGUGUUACUGCGAAGGGGGGACGGAGAAGGCUAUGUCGGCCGGGCGACGGUUGUCCCGGUUUAAGCGUGUAGGCUGACUUUCCAGGCAAAUCCGGAAGGUUAAGGCUGAGGCGUGAUGACGAGGCACCACGGUGCUGAAGUGACAAAUGCCCUGCUUCCAGGAAAAGCCUCUAAGCAUCAGGUAACAUCAAAUCGUACCCCAAACCGACACAGGUGGUCAGGUAGAGAAUACCAAGGCGCUUGAGAGAACUCGGGUGAAGGAACUAGGCAAAAUGGUGCCGUAACUUCGGGAGAAGGCACGCUGACAUGUAGGUGAAGCCCCUGCGGGUGGAGCUGAAGUCAGUCGAAGAUACCAGCUGGCUGCAACUGUUUAUUAAAAACACAGCACUGUGCAAACACGAAAGUGGACGUAUACGGUGUGACGCCUGCCCGGUGCCGGAAGGUUAAUUGAUGGGGUUAUCGCAAGAGAAGCUCCUGAUCGAAGCCCCGGUAAACGGCGGCCGUAACUAUAACGGUCCUAAGGUAGCGAAAUUCCUUGUCGGGUAAGUUCCGACCUGCACGAAUGGCGUAAUGAUGGCCAGGCUGUCUCCACCCGAGACUCAGUGAAAUUGAACUCGCUGUGAAGAUGCAGUGUACCCGCGGCAAGACGGAAAGACCCCGUGAACCUUUACUACAGCUUGACACUGAACAUUGAGCCUUGAUGUGUAGGAUAGGUGGGAGGCUUUGAAGCGUGGACGCCAGUCUGCGUGGAGCCGACCUUGAAAUACCACCCUUUAAUGUUUGAUGUUCUAACCUGGCGCCGUGAUCCGGCGUGGGGACAGUGUCUGGUGGGUAGUUUGACUGGGGCGGUCUCCUCCCAAAGUGUAACGGAGGAGCACGAAGGUCAGCUAAUCCUGGUCGGACAUCAGGAGGUUAGUGCAAUGGCAUAAGCUGGCUUGACUGCGAGAGUGACGGCUCGAGCAGGUGCGAAAGCAGGUCAUAGUGAUCCGGUGGUUCUGUAUGGAAGGGCCAUCGCUCAACGGAUAAAAGGUACUCCGGGGAUAACAGGCUGAUACCGCCCAAGAGUUCAUAUCGACGGCGGUGUUUGGCACCUCGAUGUCGGCUCAUCACAUCCUGGGGCUGAAGUAGGUCCCAAGGGUAUGGCUGUUCGCCAUUUAAAGUGGUACGCGAGCUGGGUUUAGAACGUCGUGAGACAGUUCGGUCCCUAUCUGCCGUGGGCGCUGGAGAAUUGAGGGGGGCUGCUCCCAGUACGAGAGGACCGGAGUGGACGCAUCACUGGUGUUCGGGUUGUCAUGCCAAUGGCACUGCCCGGUAGCUAAAUGCGGAAGAGAUAAGUGCUGAAAGCAUCUAAGCACGAAACUUGCCCCGAGAUGAGUUCUCCCUGAGACUUUAAGUCUCCUGAAGGAACGUUGAAGACGACGACGUUGAUAGGCCGGGUGUGUAAGCGCAGCGAUGCGUUGAGCUAACCGGUACUAAUGAACCGUGAGGCUUAACCUUACAACGCCAAAGAAGU
rnacentral:rRNA from 1 species